GAUAAGAUUUUAUUAAAUGAGAUCCAGGUGAUAAGGUGGCCAGGUGUUACCUUAGUUGGUUAUUGGCUAAUGGUUACACAAGCCAAACAAUUGUUAUGACAUCAUAAAGUGGUCAAAAU